rnacentral:pre_miRNA from 1 species
CUGGCCGUGCCAGGGGCUGCAACACAGGACAUGGGUCUUGCCUCUGCCCGCCGCUCGUGUCUUGUGUUGCAGCCAGUGGAACUGC